UAUUAUUUUUGGAUGUUAAUGUUUUGCCUGAGUAGUAUUAGUUAUGUUCUUGAAACUUAAAGAAUUUGGCGGUAUCUUAUUCCGUUCAGAGGAACCUGUCUCGUUAUCGAUAGUCCGCGUUGGACCUUACUUAGUUGUUUAUUGGUUUGUAUACCGCCGUUUAUUGAUUAUCUUUUUAGAGUUGUUUAAUUUUCUUGUUCCUUUAUUUGGUUUAAUUUCAGGUCAAGGUGCAGCUUUCUCUAAGUGUAUUGGUGGGUUACAUUGUUAUUUGUUGUUUUUGGAUUGUUGGUUUUAAUUACUGGCAUGAAAUUGGAUUUGAUUGUAAUGUUUUGAAGAUUGUUUUUGUGAUAAUUGGUUCUGAGAUAUGUACACAUCGCCCGUCGCUCUCGUUUUAUUUGUUAAUGAG
rnacentral:rRNA from 1 species